rnacentral:misc_RNA from 1 species
AUGCGAUAAGUAAUGUGAAUUGCAGAAUUCAGUGAAUCAUCGAAUCUUUGAACGCACAUUGCGCCCCCUGGUAUUCCGGGGGGCAUGCCUGUCCGAGCGUCAUUACUGCCCUCAAGCGCGGCUUGUGUGUUGGGCGCCGUCCCCCCCGGGGGACGGGCCCGAAAGGCAGUGGCGGCGCCGUGCCCGGUCCUCGAGCGUAUGGGGCUCUGUCACCCGCUCUGGAGGCCCGGCCGGCCGUCGCCGAUCCAACCCCCAACUUUUAACCGGUUGACCUCGGAUCAGACAGGGAUACCCGCUGAACUUAA